UGGGGAAUUUUGGACAAUGGGGGAAACCCUGAUCCAGCCAUCCCGCGUGUGCGAUGAAGGCCUUCGGGUUGUAAAGCACUUUUGGCAGGAAAGAAACGUCAUGGGUUAAUACCCCGUGAAACUGACGGUACCUGCAGAAUAAGCACCGGCUAACUACGUGCCAGCAGCCGCGGUAAUACGUAGGGUGCAAGCGUUAAUCGGAAUUACUGGGCGUAAAGCGUGCGCAGGCGGUUCGGAAGAAAGAUGUGAAAUCCCAGAGCUCAACUUUGGAACUGCAUUUUUAACUACCGGGCUAGAGUGUGUCAGAGGGAGGUGGAAUUCCGCGUGUAGCAGUGAAAUGCGUAGAUAUGCGGAGGAACACCGAUGGCGAAGGCAGCCUCCUGGGAUAACACUGACGCUCAUGCACGAAAGCGUGGGGAGCAAACAGG
rnacentral:rRNA from 1 species